GCCCCGCCUGUCCCCGCACUCCCACCCUGCGGGGCCGCCCGGAUGCUCACGGCCCCAGCGAAGCGGUCCCGCCCGCCCCCCGGCACGGCUGGGGCGGUGGGGUCCGGGCGAUGGGCAGCGACCUGAAGUGUUCCAUCAUCUCUGUGGAAGGGAGAAGAUAAUUUACACCAGCUCAGAAGAAACACCACUGCUUUUUCCUCCCCGCCCCAGACGAGCAGAGUCUAAGUGAAGAUUAACUGGGAGACUCGGAGGAAGAAAGAAUACAGGGGGAAGAAGCCAAAGACUCCUGGGAUGCACUUCUGAAGUUUUCCCUACUCCUGUCCCCUACACUUUUCUACUCCACAGCUUCCACAGGAAUCACGGGGGAGCCUUCAUUCCCACCCUGAUGACUAAGCCACUGUCCAAGGAGAUGGAUGACAGGGAUUUGUAGCCUUCUCAUAAAUGUGGUUUUCAUCUUUGUUUGCCCCAGGUCCUCAUGCAGGGUUCUUCAAUGUAAACACAAGAAAGGCUCAUCUUUGAGCAAAUGAGACUUAUUUCUGAGGCUUCACAUAGUGGGCAGAUUCAGACACCUCUCCUUUUGCUCCUGGAAUGGUUUCCUGCACAAGCCCAUCAAGAGACUGACUGAACAUAACCAGGACAGUUCUGAAACUCCCCAGCCUGCUAAUGUAGAAGUUAUUGAGCAACAGCUUCUUUUUAACAGCCUCUUUCCCUAGAACUGCCCUCUGUGUCAGUGCCCAAUACAGAUUUCACUUCCUCCAGCAGAUUUUAAUUAUGUGCUCAUUGCAGCUGCCUCUCAACUAGAAGUACAUUUUCACUCAGCUUUCCUAAGUCACAAAAGCAUCUCCCCUGUGCCUUAAUUUCUCUUAGUACUCUGAUGCCCCCUUCCUGCUUUAUAUGAACUUUAGUAAACGUGUGGGUAUCAGUUGUUCCCUAAGUUUGGUACCAUUCAUUUCACUAGGUGGUCACACGUUCAUGUCCUGGUGGAAGUCACCAAUCUUGCAAGAGAAGACAAGUGAGAGGACUAGGUUAUAUCAGCCUUGCAAAAUCAUUGCUGCUGUGCUGUGUAACUGCAGGUGGAACGAGUACAAAGUUUUGGGAAUUGUGGUGGGAAGUGUGGUGGGAAGAACCAGGACCACAGGAAAUCUGGAAACACUCUCAAAUUUAGCUCAGAAGAGGCUGUCGUAAGGGAGGGAGCUUUAGGAAAUCAUAGACUCAUUCAGGUUGGAAAAGACCUCCAAGAUCAUCAAGUCCAACCACUAACCCAGCACUCCAAGCCCACCACUAAACCAUGUCCAUAAGCACCACAUCUACAUGUUUAAAAGACUCCAAGACAAAGACAUCCCCAACAUUUUAUAAGAUCAGAAAGAGGAGGUUUAAGAACUUGAGUGGAAAGUAAAUUAAACUUCAGAACAAUACUCUCUCUCCUGAAGUAUAUCUGAUUUGUACUGUCCUCUUUUUAGACACUGAACUUAUGUCCCUGAUUCCCAUGAUCAGUCCCACAGAAACUAGUGAGAAAAGAGUCAGGACUGAGCAUCUAAAUUGCAGUAUAAUGCUUUUGUAACCUUUUUUCUGUUAACUCAGCACUUAUGCUUCUUAGCACCCAGUACCUAAACUAUGAUA